UUAGGUUUAUAUGUACAUUUAUGCAUAUAACAGUCUAUAUUAAGGUGAUGGUCCCUUAAGUUUGAACCCAUUCUAAAAACACUAAAUUUUUACUCCCCUCCCCUCUAUGUUUUAGGUAUAUGAUGUCAUACUUUAUAUCCCUUUAUUAAUCUCUUGACUGAUUUUUAUAGAUAUACUUGAUUUUACUGCUUUGUGUUUUAACCUCCGUACUGUUUUAUAAGUGAUUAAUCUUUUAUUAUGUUUAUAUGCACCUGUGAAAUUUUUUCCUUUCCUCAUUUUCUUACUCCUGCUUUUGGCUUUUCUUUUCCACUUAAAGAAUCCCCUUUAAUAUUUCUUGUAAGCCUGGUUUAGUGGUGAUGAACUCCUUUAACUUUUGUUUAUCUGAGAAACUUUAUCUCUCCUAUUCUGAAUGAUGGCCUUGCUGCAUAGAGUAUUCUUGGUUUCAGUUUUUUUCCUUUCAGCACUUUGAAUAUAUCAUGCCACUCCUUUCUAGCCUGCAAAGUUUCUGCUGAAAAAUCAGCUGGUAGCCUUAUGGAGUUUCUCUCAUAUGUAACUAUUUUCUUUUCUUUUGAUGCUUUUACAUUUUUCUCUUUAUCAGUACUUUUUUGCCAUUUUAAUUACUGUGUGUCUUGGUGUGGACCUCCUUGGGUUGAUAUUAUUGGGGGGUCUCUGUGCGUUAGGACUCUAGAUUUGUUUCCCUCUCCAGAUUUAGGAAGUUUUCAGCUAUUAGUUCUUCAAAUAAAUUUGUUACCCCUUUUAUCUCUCUUCUUCUGGGAUCCCUAUAAUGUUAAUGUUAUUACACGUUAUGGUAUUGCUGAGUUCCCUUAACCUAUUCUCGCAUUUUUGUUAAUCUUUUUUCUUUCUCCUGUUUAGCUUGAUUGCUUUUCAUUACUGUCUUUUAGAUCACUGAUCCAUUCUUCUGCUUCCUCUAAUCUACUAUUUAUUCCCUCUAGUGUAUUUUUCAUCUCACUUAUUGAGUUCUUCAUCUCUCACUGGUUCUUUUUUAUAUUUUCUCUUUUUUGAGGGUUUCACGGAGAUCCUCUACUCUUUUCUCAAGUCCAGUGAGUAUAUUUAUGAUUACUUUAAAGUCUCUAUCAGGCAUAUUGCUUAUCUGUUUCAUUUAGCUCUCUUGCUGUGAGUUUGUCCUCUUCUUUCAUUUGAGACAUAUUCUAAUAUGCCUUCAUUUUGUCUAACUCUCUGUGUCUGUUUCUGUGUGUUAGAAAAGUAAGCUACAUCUCCUGCUUUUGCAAGUAGUGGCCUUAUGAAGAAGAGGUCCUGUAGUGCCCUGCAGUGCAAUUUCCCUUCAAGGGUAUCUUCUGUAUGUGUUGCAUGCACCUUACUGUUGUGGCUGAGCCACAUCUGCCUUUAGUCCAGUUGUCUGAAAUGGCUCUCUUUGCCUAUUGUGGGCAGGGUUUGGUUCCGGUGUUAAGAGGCAAGUUGGGGCUGCCUUGGGCAAAAAACCUUAAUUUUUUAAAUUGUUUUUGCCAAUGUUAAGGAAAUAUGCAUGGAUAUGUAGGUGUGUUUAGUUAUACAAGAAGGGAAUUUGAAAGGACAUAAAAUAUAUAGUCAUAUUUAAAUGAUGAGAUUAAAGGUCUUUUAAGUCUCUAAUUUACUAUAAUGGACAUGUAUCACUUUUAUAAGAAAAAAAUAAUGAAAAUAUGUGUGCACACACACUUUUUAAUCUUAAAUUUAUUCUUAGUGUACUAGGAGAAUAGUAAUAUGCUGAGUAUAAAUCAGUACUUCAUUUCUGGAGGACAGUGUAUAAUAUAUACACUGUAUAUUUAUGAGUGUGUAUGUAUAAGAUAUACUCUUUGGUUCUCUCAAUUUAAAUUUUAGGAGUUUAUAUUAAGAAAAUAAUCAGAUCCAGACUGCCUGGGUUUGAAUCCCAGCUUCACCACUUAUAACUUUGUGACCCUAGUUCAUGUUCUUUGGUGGAAUGAGAGUGCAGACAGUCGUGCAGCUGGGAGACAUCAGUCUCAUGAGGAUCCCAGAGUUGUGGCAGCUGUUCGGGAAAGUGUUAACUUCCUUGAGUCUCAGCAAAAUAUGCUUCUGAUUCCUACGUCAUUUUCCCCAUUGAAAUAAUUUUCCUCUGAAAUACAAAGCAUUGCAUUAACUGCUAUAAGUUGUGUCUGCUAAUGGUGCUUAAAUUCUCCCAAGAGAUUUUCAUUUUUAUUUGAAGGAGGUGGUAAGUUAAUUUGCUGUGCCCUCUGCAUUUUUAAAAGCUGCUCUGUCCAUUGUCAUGACCUCUUGAGGAAAUAGUUCUGUUCAUUUUCCGUUUGGCAUUUCAGUAUCUGUCAUAUAUUAAAAAUAGUUGUCAUUCCUUCAA